GAUGAACGCUGUCUACAGGCUUAACACAUGCAAGUCGAGGGGAAACGACGGGGAAGCUUGCUUCCCCGGGCGUCGACCGGCGCACGGGUGAGUAACGCGUAUCCAACCUGCCUCUGACUGAGGGAUAACCCGUCGAAAGUCGGCCUAAUACCUCAUGGCAUCGUCUGCGGGCAUCCAACGACGAUUAAAGAUUUCAUCGGUCAGGGAUGGGGAUGCGUCUGAUUAGCUUGUUGGCGGGGUAACGGCCCACCAAGGCUACGAUCAGUAGGGGUUCUGAGAGGAAGGUCCCCCACAUUGGAACUGAGACACGGUCCAAACUCCUACGGGAGGCAGCAGUGAGGAAUAUUGGUCAAUGGGCGGGAGCCUGAACCAGCCAAGUAGCGCGCAGGAUGACGGCCCUAUGGGUUGUAAACUGCUUUUAUGCGGGGAUAAAGUGAGGGACGUGUCCUUCAUUGCAGGUACCGCAUGAAUAAGGACCGGCUAAUUCCGUG
rnacentral:rRNA from 1 species